rnacentral:lncRNA from 1 species
GUGCAAGAGUUGGGUGUUCCCUUUCCACAUGCCAAGAGGUGAUACUAUUUUGUCUUCAAGAGUGAAGAUCAAGGAGGAGGAGAAGAAGGCUGCAGAUCAAAGAGUUGAUCAUGCAGUUUAGAUCAAGGUGUUGAUCAAAGUGCUCAAGGCUAGGAUUUUUCUUGAGAAGAAGGAUCUUCUACGAGGAUAGAUCAGUUCAAAAUUGAUCCUGAUAGAUACCC